rnacentral:rRNA from 1 species
CGGACGGGUGAGUAAUGUCUGGGAAACUGCCUGAUGGAGGGGGGUAACUACUGGAAACGGUAGCUAAUACCGCAUAACGUCGCAAGACCAAAGAGGGGGACCUUCGGGCCUCUUGCCAUCGGAUGUGCCCAGAUGGGAUUAGCUAGUAGGUGGGGUAACGGCUCACCUAGGCGACGAUCCCUAGCUGGUCGGAGAGGAUGACCAGCCACACUGGAACUGAGACACGGUCCAG